rnacentral:ncRNA from 1 species
UACUGUUCGACGACGAAGAGAGUAAUUUUAUAUGAUGCCAAAAGCGAGUUAGGGAUGGUGGGAGCCUAAUGGAUUCAAUAAAAUGAAGCGCACUUCUGAGAUGCUAAUCCGAAAAUUCAAAGUAGGUCUAGCCGGGGAAAACCUCGUUAUCAAUGGCAAAGAUGGUUCAUGAUGAACAAUAAGAGUGGUACCGCGGGUUAAUCUCGUCUCUAAU